GUAGGUAGGCAACCAACUGACGGAGCUUGCUCUGAGGAAAGUCUGUCCACUAAAACUUUUGGAUGAGUUCCAUGAGGACAAAUCUAAAAAUUAAUCGGCUGCUUGUUAAAAGUUCCCUAAUCGGAAGGCAACCGCUAAGAAACGAGACCGCCUGCAUUUAAGAUGAUGGUCGUGAAGUUUUUCGCGAGAAAAAUGAGAUAACCGCCUGAUGUUUUUGCAGGAAUGGGUGAGACGAGGGUACCCAGCUUAGUGCAAGUCAUUGAUUGACGCUGAGUAGAAUGUUGGAAAAACCUUCAAUGAGAGCUUCAUGAGCUUGAGGGUUUUACAGAAGACAGCUUAUUGUCUGCCUAC
rnacentral:RNase_P_RNA from 1 species